rnacentral:tRNA from 1 species
GGCUCAGUGGCUCAGUGGAAAAAGCACGAGCUUGGGAGUCAGAGGUCAUGGGUUCAAAUCCCGGCUCAGCCG